GUUCCAUACAAGCCACUUACGUGGAAGAAUCAAUAAUGGCAAAUUAAAUAUCUCCCAGGCUUGUUUGUUUCGCUCACAUCCCGACUCAACUCGCCCACUCUGCUAAGGAAACUCCAUGAGCUGAUAUUGGCCUCCAUCAUCCUUCUGUGGUGUUGGAGGAAAGUCCUCAGAGUGCCUUGGACCACAAGAGAUCCAACCAGUCCAUCCUCCAGGAAAUAAUGCCCAAUGGCUGCUCACUGGAGGGAAG
rnacentral:lncRNA from 11 species